UUGUUGGUAAGGUAAAAGCUUACCAAGGCUUCGAUCAGUAGCUGGUCUGAGAGGACGACCAGCCACACUGGGACUGAGACACGGCUCAGACUUCUACGGGAGGCAGCAGUGGGGAAUUUUGGACAAUGGGGGCAACCCUGAUCCAGCCAUGCCGCGUGAGUGAAGAAGGCCUUCGGGUUGUAAAGCUCUUUCAGCCGGAACGAAACGGUUACGGUUAAUACCCGUGACUACUGACGGUACCGGAAGAAGAAGCACCGGCUAACUACGUGCCAGCAGCCGCGGUAAUACGUAGGGUGCGAGCGUUAAUCGGAAUUACUGGGCGUAAAGCGUGCGCAGGUGGUUUUGUAAGUCAGAUGUGAAAGCCCCGGGCUCAACCUGGGAACUGCGUUUGAAACUACAAGACUAGAGUGUGGCAGAGGGGGGUGGAAUUCCGCGUGUAGCAGUGAAAUGCGUAGAGAUGUGGAGGAACACCGAUGGCGAAGGCAGCCCCCUGGGUCAACACUGACGCUCAGGCACGAAAGCAUGGGGAGCAAACAGGAUUAGAUACCCUGGUAGUCCAUGCCCUAAACGAUGUCAACUAGUUGUCGGGCCUUUACGGGCUUGGUAACGUAGCUAACGCGUGAAGUUGACCGCCUGGGGAGUACGAUCGCAAGAUUAAAACUCAAAUGAAUUGACGGGGACCCGCACAAGCGGUGGAUUAUGUGGAUUAAUUCGAUGCAACGCGAAAAACCUUACCUACCCUUGACAUGUAUCGAAGCCCGCAGAAAAGCGGGGGUGCCCGAAAGGGAACGAUAACACAGGUGCUGCAUGGCUGUCGUCAGCUCGUGUCGUGAGAUGUUGGGUUAAGUCCCGCAACGAGCGCAACCCUUGUCAUUAAUUGCCAUCAUUUAGUUGGGCACUUUAAUGAGACUGCCGG
rnacentral:rRNA from 1 species